CCGCGGGUGGUCAAAUUAGGUAAAGGCAGCGGACUUAAAAUCCGCCGGUGGAAACACCUUGAGGGUUCAAGUCCCUCUCCGCGGA
rnacentral:tRNA from 1 species